AGAGAGAGAGAGAAAGAGAGAAGAUACAAGCAUUACAGGAAACAGGAAAAUAAUUGCUAAGGUUAAGCAGAUAAAGAACUCAAAAUUAAAGAAAAUAAACACAUCCACAGUGAACCACCCAAAUAAAAUUCUUGCUCAAGUAGGUCCACUUAUACCAGCACACCCUCAAUUAAUUGAUUACUCGCAGGUUCCAUAUAAAACACAAUGGAGUAAUGUCCCAAAGGAUCCAAAAUAAAAAUUCUUUAAAAUAAAAAUUCUUUCUUUCUCCCAAUCCCAACUCCAAUCACCUAAUAAUCCUUGAGGGACCCCAAGCAUCACCCACUAAACUCCAAACAAAGAAAAUGCGAGGGAUCAUCACAUUCUGGUCACAAAACAAAAAAGCAAAACAUAGUUCAAGAUUGCAAAGUCCAGUAUACACAUUCAACACCAUUUUGCUAUCCUAACCCAUCUUCAUCAACUUAUCUUUGCAAUGAGACACCAUCAAACCACAGAGGCUGCCAUCAUAUCCAUCAAUUCUAGGGUAAAAACAUUAGAAUUAACAACUUCCAAGGCUUCAUGAUAGGAUAUAACUUCAAAUGCACUCUUCCACAGUGAAAAACACUAAGGUCAUUUCCUUAGCUAAGUUGUGUUAAAGGCCGACUUACAGCCAAAGCUUUAAGAUAGACAACAUCACUCCACAACGUCAUCUUUAACCAACACCUCCAAAGCCAUCACUGCAACAUCAAAGCAACAUAUGCUUCCCCAUUAGUGGUACAAUAUUAUUUCUAAGAGCUCGUGUUCGCCUAGCCCUUUACUCUUGCAUUGUGGAAGAUUGGUUUAAAGCAGGCACGACGGAAAGUGUGGAGAGGUUUAGGAGUGGGAGGAAGUGGAUCAAGAGAAACAUUAAUUCCACUUAAGUACCCUAGAAAAAGCAAAUCAAAAUGAUGCCUGCAGUGAGCAUGAUAGAUAAAAAAAUUGACAAGGAUUCUGCUUCAAUUUCCCUUGAUGUAAGAAGCUUCCUAAUCAUGGGAUAGAAUUAUGCGUCAAUCAUUGGCUAAAUACCAUAGAUUUUUUGCUAACUUAUUGUACCAUUCACAACUUGGUUCAUUGAUUUUUCACAUUUAAUUAUAGCACUUCUGCAGCUUUUACGAUUGUGCUGCAGCACAUGAUAGCGUUAUGCCUCAUACAGUUGCAUGCCUUUAUAAAGGUGUUCAUACUAAACAUAAAGGUGAGCAUAAAGUUUUGCUUUUAAAGGGGGCCUCCCAAGGAUGGUGCAACAACAUCAGAUCAGAAAAUUGAGAGGGGUUUCAAGUAAUUCCAGCGAAAGCACAAAUCAUUUUUAAGUAAUCAAGAUUAUAAUACAGAAGAAAAAAAAGGUUAUUAAAGUUGGAUUCCAAUAUCAGAUGCCAUAAUAAAUAUUAACAAUAGUUGCGUGUAUAUUGCUACUAUUGCCUGUUAAAAAGUAAAUUGAAAAAGCCUAAAAAGGGUGCUCAUUAAAAUGUACCCAUGUUUAUUAGACAAUUCUCUAAAGUUAAAGAUAUAAUAGGUCCAUCAAAAGGAACUUUUCAGAGUCCUUAAAAAUUGCUCCUCCAUAUCUAAGCAGUAACAAGCAAUAACCAAAUAAAGUGAAACUUUGCUCUCUCUCUCCCUCAAUUGCUACAUAUCCAAAAUACACAAUUAGAAUGGAAUAAAAUUGGCACAUACCCAUCUGGAAAAACAUUGCCCCUAACGGGAAAAAUGGAAGAUGAAUCCACAGCAGCAGUAUUUAAAGAAGCUAGCUUAUUAUUUUUUGGUGGACCAAUAGUAUCAUCAGCUGGCGUCAACAGACUCUCCUUAUAGACAAACCUCACCAAUUUAUGUUGAAGAUCACCCUGCGAAAUCUCACGGAUACCAAAUUUAUGAUACAAGGGAAAGAUAAAAGACUUGGGCUUUUCAUCAUCUUCAGAAGCCUUCAAUUCCUGAAGGGUACUCGAAAAUACAGAGCUGUAGAGAAUAAGAGCAAAAAGAGAGAUACACACAAAGCCCAAGAGCUUUCUUGGGGUACUAAGAAAGAGUUGUGAUGAUGAGUAUUGGAUUUGGGGGUUUUGGGGCGGCGGUGGUGGUGGUGAAGACUGGACUGGAAGCUGAUAAUCUCGAUGGGUUUGGGAGGGUUGUUGGAGAUGGGUUUGGUGAGAGAGUGGAUAGUGAUCAUCAUCAGUGAGAGUAAAAGCAGUGAUGGUUUUGCCUAAAGAAGGAUUAUCUGGAGGUGGAAGUGAAAUAAUAACCACUCCUUUAAUCUGGGGAGAGUAAUCAGAAUCCAUAUCUCCUCCUCUCCCAAAAAAGGGUAUGUAUCAAUCACUCAAAACAAGCAAAGAUCUGUAUAAAAGGAAGGCGAGGGAGCUAUUCUUGGACUCUGCUCAACUGCUAACAGUGUCUCCCUCCCCUGUGCUUGAAGACUUGAGCUAAAUGUUUUCUGCCUCCAAAGUUUGGACAGAGAGAGAGAGAGUAGUCAAUGUGAAACCAAAAUACGUAAGACACAUGGCAGAGAAAGAUUCAAAGGAUGUAGGAG
rnacentral:misc_RNA from 1 species